rnacentral:rRNA from 1 species
AUUGAACGCUGGCGGCAUGCUUUACACAUGCAAGUCGAACGGUAACAGGGAGCUUGCUCCGCUGACGAGUGGCGAACGGGUGAGUAAUAUAUCGGAACGUACCCAGAAGUGGGGGAUAACGUAGCGAAAGUUACGCUAUACCGCAUACGAUCUACGGAUGAAAGUAGGGGACCUUCGGGCCUUAUGCUUUUGGAGCGGCCGAUAUCUGAUUAGCUAGUUGGUGAGGUAAAGGCUCACCAAGGCGACGAUCAGUAGCUGGUCUGAGAGGACGACCAGCCACACUGGAACUGAGACACGGUCCAGACUCCUACGGGAGGCAGCAGUGGGGAAUUUUGGACAAUGGGCGCAAGCCUGAUCCAGCAAUGCCGCGUGAGUGAAGAAGGCCUUCGGGUUGUAAAGCUCUUUUGUCAGGGAAGAAACGGUAGAGGCUAAUAUCCUUUGCUAAUGACGGUACCUGAAGAAUAAGCACCGGCUAACUACGUGCCAGCAGCCGCAGUAACAC